UAGAAAUUAAAUAAAAAUUAAGCACAACAAAGCAGAGACUCCCCUCGUACCUUUUGCAUCAUGGUUUAGCUAGUCAAACCAAGCACAAAGAAUUUUAGUUUGACCUCCCGAAACUAGGUGAGCUACUUCAAAACAGCCUAUCAAGGGCCAACCCGUCUCUGUUGCAAAAGAGUGGGAAGAUUUUCAAGUAGAGGUGACAGACCUACCGAACCUAGAGAUAGCUGGUUAUUUAGGAAAAGGAUUUUAGUCCUACCUUAAGUUCUUCCUUUAUUAAUAAAACAACUCCGAACUUAAGAGCUAUUCAAACAAGGUACAGCCUGUUUGAAACAGGGAACAACCUCAAAAAUAGGGUAACUCCAAAUGACAGGUGUCCAAGUGGGCCUAAAAGCAGCCAACUUUAAAAAAGCGUUACAGCUUCCUCACCAGUCACUUUAAUACCAAAAACACUACAUAACCCUUACCCAGUACUAAAUAACUCUAUACCCCUAUAGAAAUUAUUAUGCUAAAACUAGUAACAUGAAGAAGCCCUUCUCCUAAAUGUACACGUACGCCAAAAAGAACAAUUCAUUGGCAUUUAACGCUACUGACCCUAAAGCAACAACUAUACAAGAGAAUCUUGCUAACACCAACGUUAACCUAACACAAGAACAUUUCAGGAAAGAUUAAAAGAGGUGGAAGGAACUCGGCAAAUUUUAACCCCGCCUGUUUACC
rnacentral:rRNA from 1 species